AAAAUGUCCUGCUAAGUUCAAGUGAGCCAAAACAAACUAAAAGGGGUACUUCUUAUAUUGAAGAAGUGACUGGAUCUUCAGCAGAUAAGAAACCCGCUGGCACCUUGAUCUUGGACUCUCCAGCUUCUAGAACUGACCUGGAAGUUUGCAC